rnacentral:rRNA from 1 species
GCCACGCCCGCUACAAGAAACUUAAAGGAAUUGACGGGACCCCGCACAAGCGGUGGAUCAUGUUGUUUAAUUCGAUGAUACGCGAAGAACCUUACCAGGUCUUGACAUCCCCCGCGAUGCUUUAGAGAUAAAGCGGAGGUAUUCGGGGAGACAGGUGGUGCAUGGUUGUCGUCAGCUCGUGUCGUGAGAUGUUGGGUUAAGUCCCGCAACGAGCGCAACCCCUAUUGCUAGUUACCAUCAUUAAGUUGGGGACUCUAGCGAGACUGCCAGUGAUAAACUGGAGGAAGGUGGGGAUGACGUCAAAUCAUCAUGCCCCUUAUGACCAGGGCUACACACGUACUACAAUGGCCGAUACAAAGGGCAGCGACACUGCGAGGUGAAGCCAAUCCCGUAAAAUCGGUCUCAGUCCGGAUUGGAGUCUGCAACUCGACUCCAUGAAGUUGGAAUCGCUAGUAAUCGUGGAUCAGCAUGCCACGGUGAAUACGUUCCCGGGCCUU